rnacentral:rRNA from 1 species
UAAGGAAUUUUCCACAAUGGGCGAAAGCCUGAUGGAGCAACGCCGCGUGCAGGAUGAAGGCUCUAGGGUUGUAAACUGCUUUUAUAUGUGACGAAUAUGACGGUAGCAUAUGAAUAAGGAUCGGCUAACUCCGUGCCAGCAGCCGCGGUCAUACGGAGGAUCCAAGCGUUAUCCGGAUUUACUGGGCGUAAAGAGUUGCGUAGGUGGUUUUUUAAGCGAAUAGUGAAAUCUUGUGGCUCAACCAUAAGGC